rnacentral:rRNA from 1 species
CACACGACUCUCGGCAACAGAUAUCUCGGCUCUCGCAUCGAUGAAGAACGUAGCGAAAUGCGAUACCUGGUGUGAAUUGCAGAAUCCCGCGAACCAUCGAGUCUUCGAACGCAAGUUGCCCCCGAGGCCACUCGGCCGAGGGCACGCCUGCCUGGGCGUCACGC